CGGCCCUUGAGGCCUGGAGUUGGAGACCCCUGCUCUAAAGUAAAGAGGGAAGGAAAUACUUGUUUUCACUCCAAGCUAAUGCAACUGGAGGAAAGCCAAAUUCUUCAGAGAGGCCAGAUAUGAGUUACUUUGCAUUCCAGUCUGUUUUGAGGUGGACAGGUGGGUGGAGGCACGUGACUCUUCUGCUGACAGAUCACAACAAGAUGUGAGAAAAAUUCGGCGUGAUCAAGAAAAACUAUCAAAAGAUCCCAGUGAGAAUUUUUUGAAAAACACCAGAAAUAAGCAAAACUGGGACAGAGUGGGGUCUGUAUUAACCCCGCCCCUCUUAUUUUGGCCUGGAAUAGAACAGGUGGAGGAAGGAGGGGGCAGUUUGCAGCAGGAGACCAGAGAAAGAAAUGAAGGAAACGGGAAGGAAAUGACGAAGGCUUGCUCUCUGAAACAGCUAAGCUGCCACUCUCUCUUUAUCAUCCUGUAUGGAAACCUGGAAAAACACACAAACACAUAGGGUGUUGUUGUUGACUGCCAUACAAAACACAGGAUCUCAGGCACAGGAUGAUAAACAAAGAACAUGGAGAGCAAAUAGAAUUGAAGAGGACACAAUCAAAGAGACAACAGGAAAAAAAGGCAGACUGUUGUGCCGAUGGAUUACAAGUGGGGGAAAAAAAGAGUCACAAAGAAAUGGCAAAACAAAGAAGAAAGUUAAACACCAGAAAUGAGAGACACAUGGUUUGGGCAGUCUGCCCAGAGCAGAGAUACUUAAUGCCGCUCUCUUCAUGAGGUAUCUUCUGACCUCCCGAUCAUGGGAACGAGGUGAAGAGGACCAGAGGUGUGCCCUGUGGUAUCAUGAACAAAGCUGUUCCAGCAGAUCCUUUGGUUCCUCAUGGUGGACAGCAGAACUCCAUGGAUCUGGACAACAAUCUGCAACACUGCAUUGUAAAAAGAUGCUGUUAUUGUAUUUGUCAGGGGCUUAAUUACCCCAACAUGUGUAACUAGAUUUUAUUUGCAUUAGCUAGAACUAGCUAAA